AAGAGAGAUGCAGUGGGGAAGUGCUGGUGGAAUAAUCUUCAGUUUUAGAAGCUGUCCAUGACUGUUACACUCACAACAGGAGUGGAAGGUUCUAUAUGGAAAGGAUACUGAGAAUGGUUGAAUUUAUUGGCAUAUGUGCACAAGUACACCACCCCGCAUAAAUCUACAAAUUGUUUGAAACUUCUGUUUUAGUUCUGCCUCCAUACAUCUGACAAAUAAACAGCCAAAUUGAGUAACUA